GCCAAAUUGUGAGACACUGCACACUUUUUCUCCUUAAAAAUUUUCAUUUCCUUGGCAUUACUGGGUCAUGUCUGAUUUUAGGGUUUCUCGGCCAUGGGUUAUGCUUCGCAUGAACGGGUUCCCUGCUGAGCUCAUGAUCUGGGCCCGAGCAAUAUAUAUGGAAUUUGGAGGAUUGAUAGCACAGACAACAGUUUCUCAACACAGCCCUUUCAGAUAAAAUAUGCUAGGCAGGACAUUCAUUUAUGUAUGAUGAUCUCAUUAAACUUAUCCCUUAGUAGAUUUGAGGUAACAUUUUGGAAUUAUGAUAAAAGCCUAGGAGGACUUGCCACUUGGGUGAGAUUAUCUUAUGGAGAUCUUGAAAAGAUCAAACACUAAAGAGAACAAUUAUUUGAGUUGACAGAUGAUGAAGAAGUAUACGAUCUUUUAUGCGUGACCCUGAUGUCAAAAAUUUGAGACAAUUGUUAUUAGAUGCAUUUUGUAUUUAUCUUGAGAAAAUAUAGGGCAUGAAAGUUGUAUAUAUUUGCCUUUGUCCCUCAUCUAAUAUAAAUUGGUUGUAUUUAUAUGAUGGCUAUUUUAGUCGACAUAUGAUGAAGAGGUAUACAAUUUUUUGAUGCCUCACCUUGAUAUCGAGAAAUUGAGACAAUUGUUUUUAGAUACAAUUUGUAAUCAUCGUGAGAAAAUACACAACAUGAAAGCCAUAUAUGUUUGCUUAUGUCCUUCAUCCCGGUAAAAAUUGGCUGUAUUUACAGAAUGAUUAUUUGAGUUGACAAAUGAUGAAGAGGUAUAUGA